rnacentral:rRNA from 1 species
GUCGAGAAUCUUUCACAAUGGGGGCAACCCUGAUGGAGCGACGCCGCGUGGAGGAUAAGGUCUUCGGAUUGUAAACUCCUGUCAUGCGUGAACAAGGUUGCUUGGUUAAUACCUGGGCAAAUUGAUGGUAACGCAAGAGGAAGAGACGGCUAACUCUGUGCCAGCAGCCGCGGUAAUACAGAGGUCUCAAGCGUUGUUCGGAAUCACUGGGCGUAAAGGGUGCGUAGGUGGCGUGGUAAGUCAGAUGUGAAAGCCCGGGGCUCAACCUCGGAACUGCAUGCGAUACUGCCAUGCUAGAGUACUGGAGAGGUGACUAGAAUUCUCGGUGUAGCAGUGAAAUGCGUAGAUAUCGAGAGGAAUACCAAAGGCGUAGGCAGGUCACUGGACAGUUACUGACACUGAGGCACGAAGGCCAGGGGAGCGAACGGGAUUAGAUACCCGGGUAGUCC